rnacentral:lncRNA from 1 species
AUCAUAUACAAAUCUUCUUUCCUACUCCUCAUAAUUUUGGGUGCUCCAGAUUCUUCCUUUUUGCAAUCUUUUGGCAAAAGAGGGGGAGUAAUUUUUCGUUUCAAGUCUUCAAUCAAAUAAUGCAAUAAGUUAGGGGGAGUAGUAUUUUAUUUCUAAGGGGAGAUUUUAUUUCUGUUCAAGAAUUUUUAGAUUUUUAGAUUUCUAUUUCUUAGGGGGAGUUUAUCUUUUUAUUGCUCUUGAUUUUUUGCUUAAUGUUGCCUCACUAUUUAUUGAUCAAUGAAAUCAACAUAUUAUUUUAAUUAUUACCUUAAUUUAUUUAAAUGAACUAACAUGCUAAUUGGCAAUUAUUUUUGUCAAUUCGUUGUUGUUUAUGCUUGUUUCAAGUUCAUGUUUUAGCGCCAAGUUUCAUGGAAGACUUGUGUUGGAUUACUUUUGCCACAAGAAUGCCAAAGGGGGAGAUUGUUAAGUUUAUUAUUUAUAAAGUUGACAUCUUAUGGCAAGUCUAAUUAAAUUGGAAUUUUAUUUAUUACAUAUCUUGUAAUAAGGAUUAUUUUAUUAAUUUCUUAUUUUAGUAAGAUUCCAAGUUACUAGGAGUAUUUGUUUCUUAAUUUAAUUAGGUGUCUAAUAUAGUAAGCCUAUUAAUGAUGAGAUUCUAUAAUUGGUGCAUAAGAUCUCUUUAAAGCAAGAAGUUGGUUCAAACUGAAAGUUUAUUAAAUGCUCUAGAUAUUUUUUUGAGACAAGUAAGGCAAGAAAAUCAUAUUUAUUCCUAUUAUGAUUCGUAAGAAUUAUAAAAGGAAAGAAACUCUUAUUUUGGAAAGAAUCCAAAUCUUUUAAGACUUGCCAUUUUUGUGAAACCCUAGUGCCUAUAUAAAGAUAGACAUUUCACAAUUGAAGAGGCACAACACAGAGCAUAAAGUAGAGAAUCAAACUUAGGUCUCCUCCCUAAAUAAUCCGGAUUUGGCGCAUAAUAUUGUGUUGACUUGUUUUCGCAUCUUCUUCAUUCAAAGUCUUGUAAUGAGACUAUUUCUUUUCAUCUCUGUGGAGAGUUUAUUUAGAUAUUGGAUCACUGGACAUUGAAGAAUUGCUAUUGAUCACUUUACGAAGUGUCUCGAGAAUCGUGGAUCAAGAGGAGUAGCAAUUAUUCAAGAGAAGCAGAUUCAAUCUAAGAUUGAGUAAGCUGUAUGGUGAUAAAUUGUAAGUGAAAGUCUUAACUUUGGUAAAUCUAUAAGUUGUAACAUUUCAAUUCAGUGAAUUACUUUUCAUCUGGACAUGACCUCAUGGAUGUAAGAUUGAUUAAUCCGAACCACGUAAAAGUUUCUGCAUCGUGUAAUUUUUGUAAUUUAUUGUGUUUUGAAAAAUUAAUAUUUUUGAAGCGGAUGAACAGUAACUGUAAACGGUUCCAGUGAAUAGCAAUAGUGAACAAUAUUCUCUAAAGUUAAUUAAGUUGUUAAUUCUAGAGUUUUAAUUGCCUACAUAUAUUUUCAGUAGAUCUAAAUUCUUUUCAAUCAUAAAAGACAUAAAAUUAGUAAAGAGCCUAUAUCAGAAGCUUCUUAGAUAUCUAAAAUUGUUAAAAUAAUUCACUUACCAAAAUUAUAGAAAGUAGAAAAUGCUUAAGCUUCUUAAGGGAAUUUGAAGUGUGAAAAUGAAUGGCAUAUAAUACAGUAGAAAGAAAAAAAAAAUUUAGUUCCAUAUAAAGGGAAGUUAACGAUGGUUGCAGAAAUGAGGGAAGUUAAGUACGAAUCAAAUAAUGGAAGGUUACUAAACUUCCUCAAAAUCAAAUUCUAUUUUUCGAAAAUAAACUAAUACAGAAAUAACGUUAAAAAUUUACUUUUUUAAAGAAAAACUAUAUAACAUAAAAAAACUAAAGUAUGUGGAUAUUAUAAUAUUAAUAGACAAAAAAAUACAGUUUUCAAUAUAUUAAAAUCUAUAUUUUUUAUAUUUUAGUGUGCAUUCUCAUUCUUACUUUGUUAAAGUGAGGAUACCCUCACUAAAGAAUAUAUAUAUAUAUAUAUAUAUAUAUAUAUAUAUAUAUAUAUAUAUAUAUAUAUAUAUAAAGAAUCUUCGAAUUAUUUAAUUGUUAGAUGGUCAUAGUAUAGUUUGUAAAUUAAUUAAGAGUGACCUUGAUGCUUUCCUCCACAAAAUAAAAAGCAUAAAGUGUGUUGGAUUGCAUACAUGGGUAAUUACCAAGAAAAUAAAUUUUACCAUUCAACAUAUAAUCAAACAUCGUUUAAAGUCAAAUAUACCACUAAAGAAGUCAAUUUGACCGAGAAAACACUGACAGGGAGGCACGUUACUUUUAGGGAAUUAUUGUGAUCAUUAAAACUAAUAAGUGAAAUGGAAGAAGGCUAUGGAAGCUCAGGCCCAAGACAGGCCUGGUUCCAGACUUGGACAGGCUUUUAAGGGCAUAAAAAUGCCCAUUUGCCAACCCCGAUAAUGCUCAUAAAUAGGAUCUCAAAUUACAAUUAGUUCAUUUGUUUAAUUUGGGCGAGGCCAUCUGAAUGCGUGAAUUUACUCUCCAAAUUCAUCAAUUCAUAAUUUUUUUAAUUUCUAAUUUGUCCUUUAAUUAAGUUACAUAUAAAGACAAGAGAACUAAACAAAUAAAAAGAAAAAGAAGAUUUAUAAUACUUUAGCAUAUAUUUACAAUGGUCUUUUAUGAAUUUUCGUACAUAGAUAUAUUGCAUUACAACUUCAUUAUCAAUAUUAUUAAAUAAAUCUUUUUCCAUGUAAACAACCAAAAUAAAAAGAUGUUUAGGAAUUUUUAAAGGGUGCUGUACUAGUGAAGGAAUUGGAAAAGGUAAGAUCAAUAAAAAAUUAUUAAUGAGUUUGUGGGCUGUUUA